ACCGAAAACCCAGCGUUUCCUUCAACUCUGAGUCAACUAACUCUGAGUUUUCACUAAACCCGCUUUCUAAAACAGGGCCCUGUUCUCACACUGCAAGAGCAGGGUGUCUGCGGAAAGCUCAGUAUCUUGAUUAUUGAUCAGUGCCUUCAAAUCUUUGGUGUGACUUACUAUCAUAUAUGGGCAUACAAAUUUAUAGGGGAAGGCUGACCCAAUGACCUCAUUUCAAGAUGGCUGCUACCUACAUUCCGGUUAGAGUUGUAAGGCAUAAACGAAAUAAACAUGGAAUACGUUGAUAAACACCGAAAGCUGUGACUCCAAACUUCUCCAAACUUCAAACAUCUUAUGAGGUAAUCUUCGAUUUGGUCUGUGUUUGAGCUAUAGCUACAUGGGGUGUGUGAAAUGAAUCAUUACGUUGGUAGGAACCAAUCGAGUUGCCAAUGUUAUCUGAUGAUGUAUGACUUAAUGGCAACAUCGAAUGUCCAUCGAGUGACUAUAUCUUUGCGAAUCAAAAAUAUGAUGUUGCCUGCUUAUGCGCUGUAGGCAUCCAUUACACAGGAGAUUGGCUACUAUGGCACCUUGCCAGUCUUGUAGCCAAUUAGAUAAGCUUUCCAGGUAUAUGCAUUUGACCAGGGUGGGACAAAGCAAGGCCUAGAACCUUUUAUGUGUAAUACGAACUAUUGCUACCUGGAUCAGAGACGAGACGCCCCCUGAGCACACUACAUUACAAUGUAAACAGAUUUCAAAGCUUUAAUUUCAUCGCUUUCACAUAAACGAAGGCUUCUCAAGGAGGAGAAAAACUAAGAAUAUCGAACAGGAACGUAAAAAGAAGAUGGCUAUGAACAAGUAUACCGACAUAGAAUGAUUCACUUUCAGAUCUAGCGGAGGAUGCAGAGGAUUUGGAUGAUGACGUUUGGGAGCCACCCCUCCCCAGCAAGCGCCCCCGCCGGUCAAGGUCUUCACCCCCCACUGCUGUGUCAAUCACCCCAUCUGAUGGCUCUACAUCCACCACUUGACAAAGACCCCACUCCCCUUCAAACACCCCCACUGCAGUUUCAAUCACCCAGUCUGACGUUCUACAUCCACUUCUCUGCAAAGACCCCACUCCCCUUCAAACACCCCCACUGCAAUUUCAAUCACCCAGUCUGACGUUCUACAUCCACUACUCCGCAAAGACCCCACUCCUCUUCAACCACCCCCACUGCAGGCCCUGGGACCACUCCCCUCUCUGCAAGUUCAUCUGGAGGUGUGGGGGCAGGGAGGAGAUCUAGGCCUCAACAGAGAAAGGGGAGAGAAAGAGGCAGUGGAAGCUGCACAACAGAGGGAGAUGAAACUGAGGACAGGUGGCAUACGGUCCUUCAAUCAAUCACAUUUAUGUAUAAAGCCCUUUGAAGAUGAUGAGGAGCCAGAACAAACGACCUGAAGGCCCACAGUUGGUUAGUGAUGAAACAUACACCCCCUUACAGCUGUUUCAGCCCUGCUUUACCACCUCUGUACUGGAAACACUAAUUAGUUAUACCAACACGUAUGGGAACAAGAAGCAGCAGGAGGGAAGGAAGAUGUCCUGGAAACCUGUCACCAUGGGUGACAUGCUCAACUACGUUUUCUUGGUGAUUUACAUAGGACUGGUAAAGGUAUCAAGACUAGUUGACAACUGGAGCAAGUCCCCACUCUAUCGGUUCGAGUUCCCCACCUCCAUCAUGAGUGAAAACUGAUUAUUGGCCAUCAACCAUACUCUUCACAUGAGUGACCCACAAAAGGAUCAGGAGAAUGACCAGAAGAAGGGGUCUGCAGGGUAUGAUCGUCUUGCAAGAGUCAAGCCCCUUUAUAAUGACAUGGUGGAGGCAUGCAAAACUUACUACCAGCCUGCUCAAAAUCGAUCUAUAGAUGAGCGCAUGGUUGCCUCAAAGGCUUGAAUUGGCUUGAAGCAAUAUUUGAAAAAUAAGCCCACCAAAUGGGGCUACAAGCUCUUUGUGCUAGCCAAUUCAGCCUCUGCCUACAUGUGGACAUUUUUUAAUCUAUGAAGGCAAGGCGAUCACACCCACUGGGAAGGGCUUUAGUUAUGACUCUGUCAUGCAGCUGAUGGACUUCCCCUUACUUGGCAGUGGGUAUAAGCUCUUUGUGGACAAUUUUUUACUAGUCCCAUGCUUUUCAUAGACCUCUUGAAAAAUAAAAUAGCAGCUUUUGAGCCCAUUCAUCCUAACAGAAUCAGUGGAGAGUGGGACCAUACGUUGAAUCAGGACUAACAAGCUGAUUUUUGUGAAAUGGAAGGACACUAGGGAAGUGACCAUGCUCACCACACAGCAUAAGGCAUUCAAUAAUGAUCAUAAUUCAAGGAGGGUGAAAAAUGCCAAUGGGGCAUGGGUGAGGAAGAAUGUCCCCGUUUCUGUGAAGGACAAUAAUGCCAGCAUGGCGGCGUCGACCUCUCUGAUGCUCUGAUAGGCUACUACCAGGUUCUCCACAAGACCAGGAAGUGGUAUAAGACGUUUUUACCACUUCGUCGACAUUGCUACAGUAAAUGCUUUCAUUCUCCAGAAGCAGAUGGCCAAAGCAAAAGGUCAAAUCCCUCUCUCCCAGUUGGCCUUUCGAGAUCAGCUAGUGUCGGAAAUGGCUGAAAUGGGGUCCCAAAACAACCUCCCAGUCAUCACAAGACCCCCCACUCAAGGUGAGCGCCACUAUCCAACGCACAUGGCAAAAGACAAAAGGAAGAAUUGCAAGCAUUGCACAAAGCACAGGGGGAAAUUCCAGACCUCCAGACCUUCUGUCUGAAAUGCCAGUUUGCUUUUUGUUUCAUGGCAGACAGGGACUGCUUCAAAGACUAUCAUGACAUGCACAAGCUAUGUUGAAAGUGAAAUCUAAUCAUCUACACCUGGGAGGUAAAAUGAACACGAAUACCUUUUGUAAAUAGUUCAGCUUAUUUCUAUUUUUGCACUUUUUUUUGUGAAGGACACGUAUGUAACCAAAUAUAUUUUUUUAUGUACAUAUGUUGCUUUUAUGUUGUUUUUGUAAACAGUUAAUUUGUAUGUGGGACCAAUUCAUUGGAUAUGUCUAGGCUAAACGUUCAGGCACUUUGAGAGGUUGAAAAAACACAUAGAAAAAACACAUAGAUAUCCCCUGUCUGUCCCCCGACACCACCACAAUGUUUGAGUGAGGUUGGUGUUGAAGAAAUUUAGUUUUUAUGAUGAACAAUAACUUUUAGGCACAUCCAGUGUGCAAAAACAGUCCAAUUACCACAUUUGGACACUUUGGAGAGGUUGAAGGUACACUUGAAUGUACGCUGGAUACACCAAAACACCACCGCAAUGUUUGAAUGAGGUUGAAAUGGUAGAAAUUGUGUUUUUACACUGAACAAAUGGCGUUUAGGGAUUGCAAAUAUGUAAUAGCACUGGAAUUAUCUAAUUUACAGACACAUGCCACUUUGGAGAGGUUUAGGGACACUUGGAAGCAUCCCGUGACCACACUUACUAAAGCAUCUGCCAAUUUCUAGUUGUUAGGUCUAUCAAUCACUUUUUUUUUCUGGUAUUGUUCACAUAUUGUGGAAGCAAUAUGAUGUGUUUCCAGCUCUAGACAUCAAUAAUUCACUUAUAGCUUGUCAAUGAAAGACAAAUAAAAAAACAGUUAUUUUGUGUAUGCUUGAUAUUGUGAAUUCUGAACUAUGUAACUCCGAUCUAUCUUCUGAUGACUUCCUCAUAAUUUCUCAGAUGUUUUCUUUCCAACUAUACCAAGUUUUUGCAUGUCAGAAUCAUGUAAUAAUGCAUGAAUAUCAGUUACUUUUGGGUAUGUCCGUUUAGGUGGAAAUCUACAUUUUGCAAUUACAUUUAAGAGGUUCUAAAUGCUCAGAUGGUAUCUAAUUGGUCACUUGAGUUCUAUUUUUCUGAGAAAGACUUUUAUUUUAUUGUAAAAAAGAAAGUCUUUACAAAGAAUGUCUAUUUUAGUUGCAUUUACAGUGCAUUCAGAAAGUAUUCAGACCCCUUGACUUUUCCACAUUUUGUUACAUUACAG
rnacentral:lncRNA from 1 species